AAUGCUCCAACAAAAAAAAAGAAGUGCUGUCAGUCAAGGAGAUUCUCUUUGCUGUUGAGUCAGCCUUGGCUUUGGCCUCCAGACUGUACAGAGAGCUUGCAGCUGAAUUAGGUCCUUGCUUCUCUUGGAAUUGAGAAGGAAGGUGUGGGUUUUUUGAGUAAGAUUACUGAUUAAGGUGUGAAAUCUUCCUCAGUCCAUUUACUUAAAAUCUGAACAUCAAGUAGAUCAUAUAAUCAUUUCUUAGCUUAGAUAGAUCAUAGAAACUAGCAAAUUAAGGUGGUGAAAGACCCACACGUGAAUUUAUCAUCAGGUCUGCCCUGAUUUCUAGGUAAAGGCUAGUGUACAUAUAAGGUCUACAGGGUGUGUGAUUUGAAUGGAACUUUUUCCUUCAUUUUUUAGAUCACUACUCAAAGUCCACUGACAGAAUACAGGGAGACAGACUUGAUUAGAUUAGACCAGAUUGGAUUAAAUCGAAUGGUUAAAGCCUUUGGAGCCUCUAGCUUGUAGGAGACGCCAUAAUGGGCUUCAUAGUCCCUAAAUCCUAUUAGGUAGGUUAAUCUUAUUGAAGAAUUUAGGUCUGCAUAAAGCAGCAUUGCCCUUAUACUCUCUCUGGUGGUCUCUGGCCCUUAAGGUGAGCUGACAGUAACUUUCUUGGAAUAGACUGAUAAUGUUGGUUUGGGGCAAGUUUCUAAACAACUUCAAAGUGGCUACCUGCAGUUGGUCCAGGGAACAUUCCUCGCAGAAAAAUAGUCUGUCUCCUGGCUGGUCUUUGGUGUGGUGGCUGUUAGUGUCUGUGCCAGGGAUGAUUUUAGCCCUGGUUUUGGGGAAAGAGUCAGGAGAGAUGUGUGUAAAUAGCAAAAAUCGGCUGCUGUCUCGUUGUAGCAGGUGUGGGGGUGGAUUGAGGGGAGGGAGCUUUAUUUUUAAGCUUUGUGACAUCAUCCCUUAUAGCCUGCAUCCAUUUUAGAGGUUGUCAUUAAGAAUCACGUGCUGAGUCUGUAGCAUGGUUGACACACUGUACUAAAUGUUGUGAAGAAAAUAAAGAAUCUUGGAACUUGGGAGCUGGAAGCAUCUUUGUGAUUUUUCUGGGUAUGCUUGUAGGUUUAUUCUAAGUUUGAGUUGGCUCUUGCCUGUUUCUACAGAUGCAGUGACCAUGUUUUUCUGAAGCCAAACAUCCUUUUUGUCACAGAAUUUUUUCCCCAGUUUGUGAAUAUAAGGACAGGCAAAGUUUUACAAAGGCCUAUAAAUUGCGUCAAAUUUUAUUAUAGAUUUACUCUCUUUUGGAAGAAGAAAAAAGUGCAAGAAAUUGGGACUACCUCUGGAUGUAUGCUUACUGCAUUCACCGUGAGGACUGGUAGAAAGAACUGUGAAAAAAAAAAAAUAAUUAGACUUUCAUCUUUGUUAAAGAUAGUUUGGUUAGACGUGAAAAACUUUGACUCACAAGUGAUUAUUACCUACAGAUUGGUCUCCAGAGAUGCAGGAACAUUUUUUUCCAGGCGCCUUUAAAAAUAAGUUGCAGAGUGCCUCAGCUAGGAACUGAGAGUCCAUCAUUGAGAUCCUCUGAGUUAAUUGGUUCACAAGCAGAAAGUGAGGCAUCAUCCAGUUGAGACAUUCCUAUAUCCAAGGGGCUGAGCCAUUCUGACCUGGGAACUUCCUUCUUGAUAGAGCUUAGGGGGCUUGUUAGCUUUUCAUUUAUUCCCCUAUCUGGGCUAUGCCUGCUGUUAGCUAAGGAGUGAGCUAAGCUUAGUUUUUUAUUUAACUUUUCUGGUGGGGCAGCCCUGUGCAUCUGUGUCUUCUCCUCAAAGAAUAAAGAAAAUUUCAGGUGUGGGCCAGACAUGCAGUCUGAAGAACAGUUAUGAUAGAUGAAUGGUUUUGAUUUGCUUUUAGGAAGGAAAGUGCAGCUAGCCCUUUGGAUGAAGAUAAUAUCUCUCUCCAGCCCUCCUCUUUAUCGAGUGUACGGUGUUCUCUUUCUGUAUGGCACUUGUAUUUUCAAGAGCUGGGGUCAUUGACAGAAUACUUCUCACUCUUGAGUUUCUGAGCACAGCAGAGUAUACAUGUCUGAAGCCAGGAAUGUAAUUUUCUCUAAGUGUACCAAGCAUGGCUUUAAUUCUUCUUAUGUGCAUGCACAUAUUCUAUUCACAUUUGUGGUUUUUUUUUUUUUUUUUUUUUUGCUUCUUGAGGAAUAACUAACUACCCACCACCACCUUUUCCUUUUAUUGAUUCUUGAUUACACAUGUCUCAGGAUAACCUUUGUUAGGAAGCAGCUGCUGGAAGAAUGUGUGCUCAGUUGGUCUCUGUGAUUUUACUACUGUGCUCCUGUGACCCUAGGGUCACCCUGCCUACCCUCUCCUGUGCAUCAGCCCAGCCUUGUUCUUCAGGGCGUCUUCUUACUCUAUGAAGGAGACAUCCUUGACUCUCUCUGUCUCAACCUGGUAUCCAUGUCUGUUGAGGAAGUUCCAGAGGGGAAGAGGUCACGGAGGGAAUUUGAACAAGGAGAAACAGUGGAUCUGGUUAGGAGAAAUAUAUAAAACCUCAGUAUUCUUUGCUAAGUGUUCUUGGAAUCACAGUGUUCUUUGGAAUCACAAUAUGCUUUGGUCUGGGGACCUUUGAGAGUGCUCUUACCAGCCAUCAGACAGCCCUGUGUAAUUUUUCUGCAUAAGCUCACUCACUCUCCUCUUUUAAAGAUUUCUUGAUUUGCAUCCCACAGCAGUUGCUCCCAAUCUUGCUGGGGCGAGCUCCCAAUUUUGCUGAGUCCCUUUGGGAAGGAGGAGAAGUUGUCCUCUCUCGUAGUUUACAGACCGUUGCAUGUCCUGCUCCAGAGCGUCACAGAAAACAGUAAUAAUGCCUAAAGCUUAUUUAUGCACUCAAAGCAUGCCUUGCACUGUGACAGGUGCAUCACAUGGAUUAUUGCUUAUAAUAUUCAAGCCAGCCUGGUAAAGUAUGUGUGUUGUCACUGUCUUCAGUUUAUAUAUGGGAAAUUGAGGAGUUCCCGUGGUGGCUCAUUGGUAACGAAAGUAUCCAUGAGGAUGAGGGUUCAGUCCCUGGCCUCGCUCAGUGGGUUAAGGAUCUGGGGUUGCCGUGAGUUAUGGUGUAAAUUGCAGAUGAGGCUCUGAUCUGGCAUUGCUGUGAUCAAUGCUUAGGCCGGUGACUACAGCUCCCAUUUGACCCCUAGCCUGGGAACCUCCAUAUACCGUGGGUGUGGCC
rnacentral:lncRNA from 1 species